rnacentral:rRNA from 1 species
ACGAACGCUGGCGGCGUGCUUAACACAUGCAAGUCGAACGGAAAGGCCCUGCUUGCAGGGUGCUCGAGUGGCGAACGGGUGAGUAACACGUGGGUGAUCUGCCCCUUACUUUGGGAUAAGCCUGGGAAACUGGGUCUAAUACUGGAUAGGACCAUGCUGUAGGUGGUGUGGUGGAAAGAUUAGUUUCGGUAAGGGAUGAGCUCGCGGCCUAUCAGCUUGUUGGUGGGGUAAUGGCCUACCAAGGCGUCGACGGGUAGCCGGCCUGAGAGGGUGGACGGCCACAUUGGGACUGAGAUACGGCCCAGACUCCUACGGGAGGCAGCAGUGGGGAAUAUUGCACAAUGGGCGCAAGCCUGAUGCAGCGACGCCGCGUGGGGGAUGACGGCCUCCGGGUUGUAAACUCCUUUCAGCCAUGACGAAGCCCUUGUGGUGACGGUAGUGGUAGAAGAAGCACCGGCUAACUACGUG